rnacentral:rRNA from 1 species
UACGGGGGGGCAAGCGUUGUUCGGAAUUACUGGGCGUAAAGGGCUCGUAGGCGGCCAACUAAGUCAGACGUGAAAUCCCUCGGCUUAACCGGGGAACUGCGUCUGAUACUGGAUGGCUUGAGUUCGGGAGAGGGAUGCGGAAUUCCAGGUGUAGCGGUGAAAUGCGUAGAUAUCUGGAGGAACACCGGUGGCGAAGGCGGCAUCCUGGACCGAGACUGACGCUGAGGAGCGAAAGCCAGGGGAGCAAACGGG